CAUACCAGUCACAUUGGAAAAACCGUGUGGCAAUGGGAAGACGUGAUGCGGAGUGAAAAAUAGUAACGAAGUCCGUGAGCUGUGCGUCAAGAAAAGCCGCUAUUGUUCAUACCAUACCCGUACCGUAAACCGACACAGGUGGAUGAGGAGAGAAUCCUAAGGCCGGCGGAAGAAGCAUUGUCAAGGAACUCGGCAAAAUGACCCCGUAACUUCGGGAGAAGGGGUGCCACUGAAAAGUGGCCGCAGAGAAUAGGCUCAAGCAACUGUUUAGCAAAAACACAGGUCUAUGCGAAACCGUAAGGUGAGGUAUAUGGGCUGACGCCUGCCCGGUGCUGGAAGGUUAAGAGGAGAGGUUAGCGCAAGCGAAGCUUUGAAUUUAAGCCCCAGUAACGGCGGCCGUAACUAUAACGGUCCUAAGGUAGCGGAAUUCCUUGUCGGGUAAGUUCCGACCCGCACGAAAGGCGUAAUGAUUUGAGCGCUGUCUCGACAAUGCAUCCGGUGAAAUUGAAGUACCAGUGAAGAUGCUGGUUACCUGCGCCAGGACGGAAAGACCCCAUGGAGUUUUACUCCAGUUUGGUACUGGGAUCCGGUACUGCAUGUACAGGAUAGGUGGGAGGCUGUGAAAUAGUAACGCCAGUUAUUAUGGAGCCGCUGUUGGGAUACCACCCUUGCAGUAUUGGGUUUCUAACCAGCCGCCGUGACCCGGCGGUGGGACAAUGCCAGACGGGGAGUUUGACUGGGGCGGUCGCCUCCGAAAGGGUAUCGGAGGCGCCCAAAGGUUCCCUCAGAAUGGACGGAAACCAUUCGAAGAGUGCAAAGGCAGAAGGGAGCUUGACUGCGACACCGACGGGUGGAGCAGGUACGAAAGUAGGGCUUAGUGAUCCGGUGGUAUUAAGUGGGAAUGCCAUCGCUCAACGGAUAAAAGCUACCCUGGGAUAACAGGCUUAUCACUCCCAAGAGUUCACAUCGACGGAGUGGUUUGGCACCUCGAUGUCGGCUCAUCGCAUCCUGGGGCUGUAGUAGGUCCCAAGGGUUGGGCUGUUCGCCCAUUAAAGCGGUACGCGAGCUGGGUUCAGAACGUCGUGAGACAGUUCGGUCCCUAUCCGGCGUGGGCGUAGGAUAUCUGAGAGGAGCUGUCCUUAGUACGAGAGGACCGGGAUGGACGGGCCGCUGGUGCACCGGUUAGACUGCCAAGUCUAUAGCCGGGUAGCCAAGCCCGGAAGGGAUAAACGCUGAAGGCAUCUAAGCGUGAAGCCCCCCUCAAGAUGAGAUAUCCCAUCCGAAAGGAGUAAACCCCCUUGAAGACGACGAGGUUGAUAGGGCAGAGGUGGAAGUACGGUAACGUAUGGAGCUGACUGCUACUAAUAGGGUGAGGGCUUGACC
rnacentral:rRNA from 1 species